rnacentral:rRNA from 1 species
UACGUAGGGACCGAGCGUUGUCCGGAUUCAUUGGGCGUAAAGAGCUCGUAGGCGGCUGCUCAAGUCGAAUGUGAAAACUCGAGGCUCAACCUCGAGCCUGCAUUCGAUACUGGGCGGCUAGAGUCUGGUAGGGGGAUCUGGAAUUCCUGGUGUAGCGGUGGAAUGCGCAGAUAUUGGGAGGAACACCAGUGGCGAAGGCGGACACUCUGGGCCACUACUGGACGCUGAGAAGCGAAAGCGUGGGGA